rnacentral:tRNA from 1 species
GCCUGGGUGGCUUAGUCAGUUAAGCAUCCAACUUUGACUCAGGUCAUGAUCUCACGGUUCGUGAGUUCAAGCCUCACGUCAGGCU